UACGUAGGGUGCAAGCGUUAAUCGGAAUUACUGGGCGUAAAGCGUGCGCAGGCGGUUUUGUAAGUCUGUCGUGAAAUCCCCGGGCUCAACCUGGGAAUGGCGAUGGAUACUGGCGAGCUAGAGUGUGUCAGAGGAUGGUGGAAUUCCCGGUGUAGCGGUGAAAUGCGUAGAGAUCGGGAGGAACAUCAGUGGCGAAGGCGGCCAUCUGGGACAACACUGACGCUGAAGCACGAAAGCGUGGGGAGCAAACAGG
rnacentral:rRNA from 1 species